AAAAAAAAAAAAAAGGCAUUUUCCUCCUUCCCCUCUGCGUUUAUCGCUCUGGGAUUCUGUUCUCUGCAUUUGUAACUUGCAGAUGUAAUUUCUUUUUGUAAUUUUUUUUUCUUAUUUUUAAUCUUUGGGGUUUUCAAAUUUUUUUUCCCUUUUAAAAUUUUUUGUGGUUUAUUCUUUUUUAUUUUACUUUUUUUCUCUUUUUUUUUUUUCCUUUUUUCGCGCUGUGUCCGGGGCCGGGGGGGGCUGCUCACACCGGCCGGGUGAUGUUCACCCCAGGCCGUGCCUCGCCGGGGGCUGCAGGACCCCGCGUGUCCCCCCCACAUCCCCGGUGGGGGGACCGGAGGAGCGGCAGGACCGGCGGCCCCGGGCGGGCGGACGAGCCCCGGUAAGUCUGAUUUUGUUAAUAAACGCCUCUUGGUUGUACCCACGCUCUGGUCUGGUCUCGUCCCUGCCCGGGGGUCCGGCGGGGGCCGCGGGGUCCCAGCACCAUCUAGCGGCGGCGGGAGCGGCAGCGGCGGAGCCCCGCGGCACCGGAGCGGCCCCGCGCCCCCGUCCCCCUCCCCGCGUGUCCCUGCCCGCGGUGUCCCCGCGCGUGGGAAGGUUCGAGAAGGCGUUCGGCGGGAUCAGAGCCGUGCCCGCGGUGCGGUUUUAGGGGUGCCGGUGUGCUAGGAGCAGGGUGCCGGGUCUCGGUGUGCGGGCGGCCGGCAGCUGGCGGGUCCUGCCUGCUCCCGUUCCGUCUCGGUGCCGAGAGGAGGGGGAUGAAUGGCUCUGGCUCCAUCCCCGCCGUGUUGGGGGGCUCUGCUUGCUCCGUGCCCCAAGGAAAGCACUUUUCCUCCAGCCCUGGGACCCCUGGCCAAGCUCCCCCUCGAAACCCUGCAUGCCCCAUUGCCCCCUACCACUUUUUUAUUUUCUGCCUCGUUCCUAUUGCAUUUCAGUGAGUCACGCAAUUAAUCCCUGUUAAUUGCCUUCUCGAUAUUGCUUUAUGCCCUGUGUUUAAAUUCCUUUGUGUCCUUUGAGCUGAAAAACAACGCGCUGAGAACAGGGACUACUUUUGCUGAAGGGAUUUUUAUUUCCCUGCCUGUGCCUCGAGCGUGGCUGCGGGCGUGUGGCCGGUGGGAGGGCCCAGCCGGGUUUCCUAUGGCAGCAGGAGAGGUUUGGUGGUCCAGUGGCCAGUUUGGCUCCGUGCUGAGCUCCCCGAGGUUGGUUUUGGGGGUCUGUGGCUGCCCCUGUGCGGACGUGGCUGGGGUCCGGUCGUGGCCGUGCUGGUGUUGCUCCUUCCAGGUGGGAUGUUUGCUGGAUGAGGGCUGGGGCUGGCACAGGGGUGUUUGCAGGGCUGGGGCUGGCACAGGGGCACUUUGCUGCGGGUGUUUGCUCUGUCCUGUGGGCACAGCAGGAACGGGGUGCCAGGCCCAGGCUGGUGCAGCCUCCUGUGUCCCUGCUGGAUGCUGAGCCCUCCGGCAGCUGAUGCUGGCCGUGGAGGAGGAUGCCAGGAGCGGUGUGCAGAGCAGUUCCAGUGCCUUCUCUCUGGUGGCACGGGAGGUAUCCAGCCCCUCUGGCCCUCGGGAGCAUCACUUCUCCCAGGAUGUGGCCCCCACUCGGUGUCGGCCUCGCUCGGGCACUGCCGGUGCCCAUCAUAAAUCCUUCAUGAUGGGGCCUGUUUCGGGUUCCUGCACUGAGAUUUUGUCCCACCACGCCAGUCCCUGGCCGUGGCUGGGCACCUCGUGCCGCGGGGUGGGAGGAUGAUGCCGCAGAGCCUGAAGGUGUGGUAGCCCAGUGCCAAAAUCAGCACACCCGGCACAGCCGCUCCGGGUGUUGGCGCUGCCAGGGCUGUGCCAGAUCCCAGCCAGGGCACGGGGCAAGGGGCUGCACAGCCUCAUCCUGCCAGAGCCUGCUCCCAGAGCUGCUGGACGCAUCCCUCCUCACGCUCCAUCCCUCUCUGCCCCAAACCCUGCCACACAAGGAUGUCUCCUGCUCCAAAAACAAGCCCGUGCGCCUUCCCUUCACCCACGGGUGCUGCCUGGAUGUGUUCUGCUGUGCAGGAGGUUCCCUGAGGAAUAUUUUUCCCCUCCCUAAGGACUGCAGCAGCGGGGCCAGACCGUGUAAACACCGCGAGUAUCAUCUGAUAGCGGCGGCACUCGGGCUGGAGCUGCUGGGGAACAGUUGCAUUGCCAAUAUAUUAAAUAAUUCCCUGUGUAAUGUAUGCCCAGGUUAUUGCGGAAUUCAUUUUAUAAUAAGAGCACUGGGAUGCACUUUAUUAAUCAUUCUGUCUAACAACCUGCACUCCACAGUUUCGGUUUGAUUUGAUUCAAUCCUGUCUUUCUGCAAAAUAUAUGGCUGAGUGGGUCGGAUAAUGUAUGGCUUAAUUUAGAGUUGUAUGGGUUUGAAUUACCAUUUUCAUAAUGUGCUGUGCAUUAAUGUGUUGCAUCAUUUAUACAGAAAAAUGUGCCAGGUUUCAAACCUCUCCAGGAGGCAAAAGUCACCUAAAGGGAACGCGGAGAGGCAGAAAAAGACCUUUUCGAAUCCAGCCGGGGCUGGGAGGACACCGGUGGGUGUCGGACGUGGGGACAGCAGUGUUGGGGCUGUGCUGGUGGCUCCUUUCCCUGUGGCACAGCAGCACCUUCUCCAGCUCGCCCCGAGCUGCCGGGGACCUGCAGCGCUUGACUCGCCGGUGACCCCGGUGCCGGCGCUCGCCGAAGUCGCGCCCACCGCCGCUCACCCCGCGCCGCGAGGAAAAAGCUCUGAUUAUCCAAAUACAGUCAUUAAAGGGGAAAUGUGUUUUUAGGACUGUCAGAGUGAUUAAUGAGGGUUAGCAAUCCUUGCAAAUGCACUUGUUUAGUCUAACUGGCAGCCUCUCCUUCCCUAUUGAUUUAUGGUGGCAGUUGCCGGGGCCGUGGUGUGUGUGGAAGGAGCGGGGCUGCGCCGGGGCUGCCGGGGCACGGCGAGGGGCCCGGCCGAGCGGCACGGCACGCUCUGCUGUGCCGGAGGCAGCCGAACAAAGGCAACAUUAUACCCUGUGCCGGGGAAGGAAUGACUUGGACGCACACGCCGAGCCGCUCCGCGUGCCUUAUAAAUAUCCCCGUCUGUGAUGGCCGAAGCCCAGCUGACCACAGCCACGCUGUCCGCCCAAUAAAUACGUGAAUGAAAGAGCCAGGCCCUAUUUUUUCUUGUUGUUUUCCUUCCUCUCCUGCACAAAAAUCCCCGAUGUCUUUUAGGUGAUGCAGAGGUGGCUGCCCGCAGACGUACAAGGCGUUUCAGAGUCCAGAGCGGAGCACGGCGUCCUCGAGGGCUGGAGCCUGCCCAGGGGUCAGGUCGGGAUGCAGAGGCAUGGGCCAGAGCAGAGCCAUGGUGGGUGGAUGAGAAGUUCCUCAGUUGCAUAAAGCAGCUUUUCUUUCCACGUGAGCACUGGUGGAAGCCACGGAGAACGCAGGCUCUGUUUGUCCUCCAAGUCAGAGUGGCGUGGACACCUCCUGUCCCCCCACCAGCAUCCCUGUGCCCAACCUGGGGUCUGGGCUUUGCUUUGGGGCACAUUUGGUGCUGCAUGAGCUGAGAGCAGACCUGGAGAGACAGAGCUGUGCUUGGAGGUGGCAGCGGAGGUCCUGUGCCAGGCUGUGAGCUGGAGCCCUGCAGAAGGAGCAGCUGGAGCAGCCGGCGGUGACACGGCGGUGACACGGAGCAGCCAGGGCAGCACCAGGGUGUGGAGCUGUGUGUGCCCACCAGAGCCCCGCACUGCCCUGCUGUGGGAUCACCUCCAGCCACUCCGAGCAGUGGGACAGCAUAAGUGACAAGAGGCUGGACGAGGUGAGUGGAGAAGGACAAAGAACUCAAGGCACCAAAGCCAGAAGAGUAUGGGCAGGCACCCGGGCACUGCAGUGGCCAGGAAUGCCACAAAUGGGAGUGGACUUUCCUCUGGUUCUGGAUAUCAGCUGAAGAGCUGCUGCUGUCUCUGCCGUGGCCAUGGAUUGGUGUGUGCUGCAAAUCCUCCAGCAGCAGAUCCUCCAGCAGCUCUGGUUCCAGCUUCGGCAGCGAUAACGCUGACUUGUUCCUCGCCACACCAGGACACCCGGCCUUGGCUGGUCACCAGUGACCCACGGGAAGUGCCCAGGGUGACCAUGGCCAUGUUUCACUCUUCUCCAGUGUCUGAUCAGCGUGACAGUCCAGCACAGAGCCCCUGGAUGUGACAGAGCCCUGGGGCCACGGCCAUUUCCUCGCACAGGUUGACACCGGAGUGUGGCAGCGAUCGCGCUCGUUCCUGCAGGCUGGGUCACAGUCACCCUCUGUUUAUUGUGGUGACAAACCGAGGAGUGCUGAUCCUUACACACCAACACUUCAGCUGAAGCUCCCUGGCGAGCAGGGGAGGGCGCUCAGCCGACAGCUCCGUGCACAGAGCAGGGUCCUGGAGCUCAAGUCACAAUAACAGAGAUUUACACAGAUCUGCACAGAUUUACACAGACCCGUGUGUUUUCUGAAGGUGCUCAUGGAAACCUCCGGGAGCAGCUUUGCCAUGACUUCAUCCCACCUUCCAGCGUGGUGCAGGGACACAGGACAGGAGGAUGUGACCCACGGAGGAGGUGCCUUUGCCAAAGGUGGCAGUGGAACGCUGACCCUGUGCUACCAGAGCUGGCCCUGACAGGCUGAGCAGAGCUGGACAGCACACCCGACACUGUGCAGGGUGCAACGUGACCUCUUCCAACACCUUGUGGUCCCAAAAUUCAUGGAUCACCUCUCCUGGCGUGGCAAAAUUUGGAAGGAAAUGAAGGAUGCAGCAUCCUGGGCAGCUGGUGGCUUCUGGGGCUUGACGGACCUUUCCUGCAGACACCUCAGUGGAACAGAGAACCAAAAUGGCCUUUUUUGUGUCCCCCACAGCUGCCAAGGGUGGCUCCCCAGCAGCGCUUGGGGCUGCACUGGUGCCCACCACAGCACCCCUGCAUCUCCACUGGUGCAUCCCUGGGAGAGGGAGAUGCUGCUGCCCAAAGGAGAUGGGAGCAGUGGGAGCCUCAGGUCCUGGGGCCACCUCUCCACGAGCAGCUCCUGCAGGAAGGGUGCCUGGGGGGCUCCGAGGGAGAAGGACAGAGAUGGGGACUGUUAAAGAUCUUUUUGCUGAGCCCUCAGUCUUCUCUGCACUUCCCAGAGGGAGGAGAGGGCAGAGUGAAGCACCCAGAAGAUUUGCUGUGUUUUCCUCUCUGGAUGAGAAGGAUGGGGCUGCUCAUCCCCGAGCAUGGAAGGGACUCCUGGUUUCUGCUGGAGCAGUGUUGCCUUUGUGGGGUUUUGUUCCCAUUCCCAGAACAAUCCCAGUACCAUCCAACAGGCUGGAGAAGGACAGCCCCCCUCAGAGGUGAGAAGAGCCGUGUUCUGGGCAAAAUGGAAACGAGCCAAAAGCCCUUCCUUCCUUCGGGGUUCUCACAGUCUCUGGGGCUCUGCUUGGGUUUUGUUUUGGGAACAACUGGGACGGAUGGGGCUGGCUGGGUGCCUGCUCCUCUGGCUGCUGGGGUGUGCUCUGUCCCCAUUGCUGCUGCUCCUCGAUAAUUCCCAAGCUUUUCCAAGUUGUUGUGCUGGCACAGAAAUCCUGCAGCACUGGGGCAGCUCGGGGGGAGCACCCCAAGGGGAGCACCAGCAUCCAGCAGCUCCCACCUGCUUCUGGGAUGUCCUGGUGUGGAGCAAACCCUGAGCCUUCCUGGCUGUGGGGGAACCCCUCAGGGUACUGGGACUGUCCUGCUGGGUUUGGGGACUGGCUCUGAGCUCUGAGCACUGGAGGCGUGCACAGCAGGUGAGUCUGGGGGAGAUGGGGGCCAGGGCAGCGCUGGCAGCUCUGGGGUGCUCUGUGCCAGCAGGGCACAGCACCACAGCCAGGGGUGGGCAGCGGGCACAGCCCCCCAGCCUGUGAUCACACCCCAGAUGGCCACAAGCCCCCCAGGGCAGCGAUGGGCUCUGGGGACAGAUCUGUGGGUGCUGUGUCCAUGGGGCCAGCGAUGCUGCUGGCACCCCGGGCUGCCCCUGCUCAUCCCCCUGGCCCUGCCCUUCUCCCGCGGCCGGGAGCUGCCCUUUCAUCUCUCGGGGAGGUACAAAUGGAGCUGUCAGAUGCCAUCAGCCCCGCGAUAUGACAGGUUGUGGGGCCGGGGCCCCUCGAACAGAGCAGCCUUGUCUGUCAGAGCCGCCUGACACUCCCCAUAAUGGCCAGAUGGAUGAGACUCUGAAAGUAGGGCCCGGCGCGUUUUCAACUCUAUUUUGGGUGAAAACACUUCUUGAAAGAUCUUGAAAGGAGCUGGCAGUUUAGUAGUUCAAAUGAUUAAUGAGCACUGGCUCUGGCGGGUGGAUUUCUCGCGCCGUGCCAGCAGCUGGGCCGCUCCAGCGGGCCAAGACACGCCGCGCUCCCCCCGCGCCCCCCGCUCCCCCAGCCCCCCUGGCUUUCCCGGAAAUGACACCAAGGCGACAGGCCCUGCAUAUGGAAAAAGUUAAAUAUAAAUUACUGCUGAAAGAGGCCUCGCUGAGCGGAGUUAGUUAAAGAUGUUUAUGGAUUCAGAAACACGGGCCUGCAUAUGUAUUUAGGGAUGACAAAUGUGAUUCAAUAAGUCAGGAAUUUCUCCGUGGGCUGAGGCGGGACCCGCGCGGCGCGGGCGCUGCUCUGGGCUCUGCAGCUCAGUGCCAUAAAUCCUGCAGACAGGCUCCUCGCUCCUUCCCAGCCUGCUUGGGACUGAGUCUCGCCUUUUCCCUGCGUCUCACCGAGUCGCAGGAGAUGCUGUGUUUGGGAUGUGACAGCCCUGCUCCCUCCACGGGUGUCCCCUGGGGCGGGUUUGGGGGGCUUGGGAAAACCCAUGGGGGCACUGGGGACCAUGCCACCACCAGUGCCAGGCACAUCCCUGUCCCUGGGCUCUGGCAGCAGCCAGGCCCUUCAGGACUGUCAGCAGCUGAUUAACGACCGACAGCUCCAGAGCAAGUUUGGGGUUUGACCUGGUGCUUAACAAGUUCAGCCCCAAUUCUGCAGCCCCUUCACAUGGGCAGCUGGGGGGUCUCCUGGAGCCUGGGGAGCACCCACCCAAACUGCCCCCUGUUCCUGCUGCUCUUGGGGUGCACAUCAGGGACCACUGAAGCAGGAAACCCUUAAAUUAAACUCCAGCUGCUGUGGUGGGGGCCUGGCAGGGGUGCCAGCUCCUUGGCAGGGGUGCUGGAUUUGGGGUGCCCACCCCCAGCAGGCCCCCAGCAAUGGGCAGUGCAGGAACCACCCCCUUGGCUCUCCUCAUCCCACACCUCUGAGGCUCAGAGGGAAAUGCCUUUCGGGGGGUCAGCGCCCGGCCAGGCCUUGGACCCACAUCCACAUUCCUUUGUCCUGAUUUUAUUCGUUAGCAACAUUUGGCCUGGAUAUGGAGACAGCUAAUGAGGGACGGAGUUUAUUGCAGUUUGAUUUUUCUGUUAAAACAAUACAAUAAAAUAAAUGCA